rnacentral:tRNA from 1 species
GGGGUUGUGGCUCAGUGGUAAAGCACUUGUGCCUAGCACGUGCAAGGCACUGGGUUCAAUUCUCAGCACCACA